CAGGGCUGGGGAACCACACUGUUCGAAAGUGAGCUAAAGAGCAAAGCUUGUUCUAACACACCUUUUCCUGGAAUAUUUGCUCCAGAAGCCAACCCAACCAAUUUGACUGUUUCUACUGCCCAACCCGAAGGCAGGCUGCACGACCGUCGGCAGGUUAACAGCAAAACCGCCGCUACAGAACACAUUCAAAUUCCAAAAAAUCGGGUGAAGCGAUGAAGCGAUGCACCUCGGAACCCAGCAGCCUCAGCCGGAACGCAGCCCGGCCCCGGGGCCGGUGGAGCGGCAAGAGACACCGGCGAGGAAGAUGAGACUGAAGAGACCCAAAUCUUCAGCCUUUCUUCAUAAGAGGUGUUCCAAUCCCCUAAUCAUCUUUGUAGCCCUGUCUGAGAAAACGUCUGAGGUUCAGUUUGCUAACGAGAAGAAGGGGUGAGGGAUCUGCAGUUCUUUACGAAAACCAUCCGCUGUGGUAAAUGCAUGGUGUCACCUACCAAGCAAGGGCUUGAAGCGGUCUGCAGCUGCCCUUCCUCAGCCAGCCUGGUGGCUGUGCGUGCUCCAAGCCAAAGCGCUGAGGGAAACCAUCUGAAAUCUAACAAAGUUUUGAAGAAAAAGAACCUUUCAUUCCUUCCAUAAGGAAGAAAAUUUUAAACCGUAUAAAUUCUUAAAUAAAGUUCGUAAAAUAAUUUUGCAAGACAGACCUGAGACAACUACGGCAAUUUGUUGCGGUAAAUGGAACAUCUUCUUGGAUUCACACGUUACAAAUAGGUAAGGUCAAGACCUCCAAAGGUAUAAUUUGUCAUCAAAUUUAGCGAAUCUAACAAUGACUUAUUUCAUUCUGGUUUACCGCUUCAGAUCAUUAGGGUAACAUUCAACAGUCAUUUCAACUUUUCAUAUACAAAUUGAGCCUAGUAGAAAAAGUUUCAAUCCAGCGGUCCAGAACAUUUUAAGAGGUACUGUAAAUGAACUUGAGUUUGGAAACUGAUGUUAAUCUGAAAGACAUUUAAAGUGUAAUCUCUCUGAAAAGAUCUGCAGCUUUAAGGAAUGUGGAAAGAAACCUUUUAAUUGACUACAGCCUUAAGCUGUGAGUGCUGGUGGGCAUGACAGAGUGAUUUAGAAAGCAUUUCUAAAACUCUUGUUAAAGGAAGGAAUUACUUCAGGUGUUAGGCCUCAUUCUCCCCUUCUGGAGUUUUCCAUGGCAGCAUA